rnacentral:pre_miRNA from 1 species
UAUCUUUACAUAAGUGUUGCAAAAUAGUCAUUCCGUUAAAUUUUAAAGUAACACCGUUAGUGAGAUCAAUUUUAGUGCCACGUGAACUAUCCAAUAUAGCACUAAAGGAUGACGUGACAUGACAUGUGGACGUGUCUCCUAAAAGAUGUCACGUCAUUUUGAAAGUCCACGAGACAUUUCACAACCUUUGCAAUGCAUGGACACUUUAAGCACGAUUUCUGACAUCUUUUAAGUUAGAGACUAUUUUGCAAUACUUAUGCAAAAGAU